CUGGUCUGUAAAGGGACACAGCA
rnacentral:miRNA from 1 species